GAUGAACGCUAGCUCCAGGCUUAACACAUGCAAGUCGAGGGACCGGCGCACGGGUGAGUAACGCGUCUCCAACCUACCCAUUACUGUGGGAUAACCUGCCUAAAGGCAGACUAAUACCGCAUAGUAAUGGAUGGGGAUGCGUCGGAUUAGCUGGUUGGCGGGGUAACGGCCAACCAAGGCGACGGUCAGUAGGGGAUCGGUGAGGAAGGUCCCCCAAAUAUGAACUGAGACACGGUCCAAACUCCUACGGGAGGAAGCAGUGAGGAAUAUUGGGCAAGGGGCGCGAGCCUGAACCAGCCAAGUAGCGUGCAGGAUGACGGCCUAUGGGUUGUAAACUGCUUUGGUAUGGGGGUAGGUACCAUACGAAUAAGGACCGGCUAAUUCCGUGCCAGCAGCCGCGGUAAUUC
rnacentral:rRNA from 1 species